rnacentral:rRNA from 1 species
GAUGAACGCUAGCGACAGGCCUAACACAUGCAAGUCGAGGGGCAGCAUAAAGGUAGCAAUACUUUGGUGGCGACCGGCGCACGGGUGAGUAACACGUAUGCAACCUACCUGUAAGAGGGGAAUAACCCGGAGAAAUUCGGACUAAUACCGCAUAAUACUGAUUAUCUGCAUGGAUUGAUCAGUUAAACAUUUAUGGCUUACAGAUGGGCAUGCGUAUGAUUAGAUAGUUGGUAGGGUAACGGCCUACCAAGUCAACGAUCAUUAGGGGUUCUGAGAGGAAGGUCCCCCACACUGGUAAUGAGACACGGACCAGACUCCUACGGGAGGCAGCAGUGAGGAAUAUUGGUCAAUGGGCGAGAGCCUGAACCAGCCAAGUCGCGUGAAGGAAGAAGGUUCUAUGGAUUGUAAACUUCUUUUGUAAGGGAAUAAAAAGAGUUACGUGUAACUUAUUGUAUGUACUUUACGAACAAGGAUCGGCUAACUCCGUGCCAGCCGCCGCCGUAA